rnacentral:rRNA from 1 species
UACGUAGGGUGCGAGCGUUAAUCGGAAUUACUGGGCGUAAAGCGUGCGCAGGCGGUUUUGUAAGCCAGAUGUGAAAGCCCCGGGCUUAACCUGGGAAUGGCAUUUGGGACUGCAAGGCUUGAGUGCGGCAGAGGAGACGUGGAAUUCCUGGUGUAGCAGUGAAAUGCGUAGAUAAUCAGGAGGAAUACCGAUGGCGAAGGACAGGUCUCUGGGACCUGG